AAACCCAGCCUGGAAGCCCCCUGGGUCCAGGUCCCUGCCCCGCCUUGUCAGGCACACUUGGGCCCAAGCUCGAGCUUGCUAAUAGACCCUCGUGCGCUUGCAUCGGUGUCGGCUCCUUGGUGGUUUCUCGGAUUCGCAAUCUUGGGCACGACAUUUGGGGGCUCGUCCGGGAUCCGAGAGACCCCAGGACCCCACCCGGAGGGUCCCACGCCUGGUGAGUGCACUCCACCUUCCUCUACCUGUUGCGCGCCUGUUCUGAGCUCCCUGCCCUCCUCCUACCUGCAGGGAGGCCAACCCGUAGAGGGGGACACUGGCUUGGGCGGGCGCGCGGGCGGCCGGCGCCGGGGGCCUGGGCCUGGGGGGGCGGGGUCCUCGCCUGCGGGGAGGGCCGGCUGCCCGCCCAUCGGUUCACUUUCCGUUUUGUCUCCGCGGCCGCACCGGGACGUUUGUCUGCGUUGCUGUGUCCUUGUUCAUCGCCACGGCUGUCUGUGCCCCGGCGUGGGCGGGGGUGGGUACAUGGUGGGGCGGACACAACCCCCCACACUCUUCCGCUCUCCCACUUCUCGGACUUUAGGGAAAGGGCUCAAUCCGAGCACGGACGUACGGAGAGGGAAAUUUCAGACCUGUUAUCCUACAGGUUCAGGCCGUGAUCUUCAGGGACAAACCGGACGCCACCCCGACCAGGACCUCCCAAGAUCCUAGCCCAGCGAAAGGCCGAGAAGGCGACCGACUCUACGACCCAAGCGCCCCUUUACCCGGUCGUGCAGGAUUCCUCCCCCAGGACCUGAUCCUCCCGCCGCCCUGCCGGAGGCGCGGGGGCUGCAGACGGGGCGCCCCUCCCUGACGGGUCCCGGAGCGCGGCCCGCGGCGGGGCGGGCGGGUGGACCCGCGGGCGGCCCCGCCCCCGACGAGACCCGAGAGCGACCGGGGUCCUGGCCGUCCUCCAGCAGUGAUUCAUGUAAUUGGAGAACCCAAAAUGCAAAGUGCUCGGAUAACCCGAAAGGUCUAGUCGGGCUUUUAAAUUUUUUUUUUUUAAUUUAUGAUAGUCACACACAGAGAGAGAGAGAGAGGCAGAGACACAGGCGGAGGGAGAAGCAGGCUCCAUGCACCGGAACCCCGAUGCGGGACUCGAUCCCGGGUCUCCAGGAUCGCACCCUGGGCCAAAGGCAGGCGCCAAACCGCUGCGCCACCCAGGGAUCCCCUAGUCGGGCUUUUAGAUGCUGUUAGGGAGUAAGUCCGGGGGUCGCUGCACCCGCGCCGGCCAGCUGCCCCCCGAGGCGGCCCGCCGAGGACCAUCCCCUAAAGCUAGGAGCUAGGGCAGGGUCGCUCCCACUUACCCGCUAACAUCACCUGCGCUGUAGCCCCUCGCGGCUGAAACUAACCCCCACUCACCAAAAUCUGACGUGGAUAGUUCAUAACGCAGCCACGGGAGAAAUCUACCCCGAUCCUGCUGGCGGUGCUAUGACACCCGACCCCCCUUCUGCCCUAAUGCUUGCAGGUGGAGCCAAAAUCCCGGCAGCCAAAGGCCUCACCUUACAAUCUGUGUCAGGCCAGGGGCCCUGCCUAGGUCUCCAGGCCACUACCGGGUCCUGUGCGACGGCAGGCGGCCUAUACACAGAACCGGUGUCAUUACAGCCCCAAGACAGCUGGGGCCUGCUCGAGGGAUUAACUCCCUGCGCUCAGGGACAGGUUAUGAACAGAACUGGGGGCUUCUGCGCACUGGUUCAACUACUCCCUAGAAUCAUCUAUUGUUCAGACGAGCAGGUACUUCAAUGGAUGGACCCCCCAGGGGCGAAAUAAACGAGAGCCCAUCUCUGCUGUCA
rnacentral:lncRNA from 1 species